rnacentral:rRNA from 1 species
UAGUAAUGGCGAAUGAACAGGGAAAAGCCCAAUUUUAAAAUCACUUGACUGUGAAUUGUAGUUUAUAGGAGGGUAGAACUGUACUGCCUUGUUAAGUCUCUUGAAAAGGAGCUACAAAGAGGGUGAAAUCCCCGUUUUGGCGCAAGUAGUAGUAUAGAACUUAACUCUAAAGAGUCAUGUUGCUUGAGAAUGCAGCAUAAAAUGGGUGGUAAAUUCCAUCUAAGGCUAAAUAUUGGUAAGAGACCGAUAGCAAACAAGUACCGUAAGGGAAAGAUGAAAGAGAACCUUGAAAAGGGGCUCAAAAGAAAGUGAAAUUGUUUUAAGGAAAGCGUUUAAAACUUUUAAAACAUGUGCAUCAAUUAGAGGGGAGCAAGCCCUUUGCCAUUGAUGCAUGUGUGGCUAUUGCUCUGGUUUGAGCUUAUAAGGGCUAGAGGAAAGGUAUAUUGAGAUUGCGCUCGAUUUCUUACAGGCCUUUUAGGAAUGUAAAGUUUGGGCCAGUGUUAAAAGUCAU